GGCAGCCGUCCAGCCUUCCAUGCAGCAGCAGAAGUCCAUGCCCAUUCAGUGAUGUGCAGUGUAGCAUGUUCUAUGCAAGACACAAUGGAGGUGUCGAGGACACAUUGGUGGGUGAAAUCAAAUCCUCUCUCUGUCCAGAGCCACAUUUCAACAAGUGCCAUGAAGGACUCAUUUUGAAGAUCUCCGCUAUAACUAAUACACCACCAAGGGUUUGGGUGACUAAAUGUGGUUUCUGUGUAAACCUCUUGUGUAUGAACUAUAAAAAUGAAAAAGCAAUA